rnacentral:rRNA from 1 species
GAUGAACGCUGGCGGCGUGCUUAACACAUGCAAGUCGAACGGUGAAGGCGGAGCUUGCUCUGCUGGAUCAGUGGCGAACGGGUGAGUAACACGUGAGCAAUCUGCCCCUGACUCUGGGAUAAGCGCUGGAAACGGCGUCUAAUACUGGAUACGAGCUGCGAAGGCAUCUUCAGCAGCUGGAAAGAAUUUCGGUCAGGGAUGAGCUCGCGGCCUAUCAGCUUGUUGGUGAGGUAAUGGCUCACCAAGGCGUCGACGGGUAGCCGGCCUGCGAGGGUGACCGGCCACACUGGGACUGAGACACGGCCCAGACUCCUACGGGAGGCAGCAGUGGGGAAUAUUGCACAAUGGGCGAAAGCCUGAUGCAGCAACGCCGCGUGAGGGACGACGGCCUUCGGGUUGUAAACCUCUUUUAGCAGGGAAGAAGCGAAAGUGACGGUACCUGCAGAAAAAGCGCCGGCUAACUACGUG